GGCUGGAACCUGGCCCUGAGAGACCCAUUGCCUUUCUCUGUUCUGUAACCUCUUCCCAUAGAGAUUUUUAUCCUGUAACCCUGUGGUCAUCACCAUGCCUCCCAUUUAUGUGCAGUUCCUAUGGGCUCCUGAUGCUUUCCUGGAUUUCUCCCAGGAGAGGCUGUUGGGUGUUGGGGUGUUGGGGAAGAGAAUUAGUGUUCUGCAGUCUGGAGUUCACUGGUCUGCAGACUGCUAAAAGUCUGGGGGCUGCGUCUGCCAGGGAUAGUGGCUCUGGCUGGUAUGGGGACCAAGGGCAAAAGGAUCAGUGAUUUCAGCAGAUGCCUUUGAGCCCCGAGUCUCUGGCUGUGGACUAGUCCAGUAGAAAGAGUGUCUUGGAGUGUGGCAGAGUCCCAGUCCCCUGUCUUUCUUACUGUCAAAACCAAGGUUUGGGCAAUCGAUGAUCUAGCUAAAAAAACGAUGUUUUUCAGCCUGUCCUUUCUGGGCUCCUCCUGUCCCAAACACAGAUGUGAAGCAAUGUGCGAGAAUUCCUAUUCUACAAUCGCUGUGUAUAUUUAACACUAUGAAGCUUCUCUUUUUUGCCAGUCUGACGGAUAUGAUGGGGCAUCGCUUACUGCUUUCAUUCCCAUUUCCUUCAUCAUCAUUGAGGGUCUGGGAGAGAGCUUUGGGAUCGAGACUCAGCCCAAGGGCAGCAGGGAGCCAAGGGGCUGGGGCUGCCCGUGGGGAGUGUGUGAAUCAAAGGAGCAGACCGCAGCUGGAGCCACCUCGCCUGGAUUCCUGAACGCAGACUCUUGACAGACCGAUUGUGUAACGGCAUUCCUCCCAAGGAAACACGCCUGCCCCCUCCAAGAAGGAUGGAGGCAGAAGAGGUGCUGAGUCUGGAACCCAUGGCUGCUGCGGACGAGGAGCUGGGUGAUGCUUGCCUGGGCACCGUAUCGCUCUCAUCCUGUUUUCUCGCCUGUGAAAUGGGAAUGGCGCUCAUGCUUCUCUGUGGGAUGCUGGGAAAGGAACAUGAGGGCGUCCAUGGAAGUGUUUGAGGCAUGCCUGCUCCAGGGGGAAGCUCCAGAAAUGACACCUAUGAUCUCCCAGCUGUGUUCCCUUUAAGUUAACAAACACUCGUCUGGUCUGGGGCUGGGGUACAGCGAUGAGGAUGACCUGGUCCGAGCCCCAGGAAUGUGGGCCGUAGGAAGGGCAUGGGCAUGAAAGACGUGCUCAGGGGACCCCUUCCAGGUGUCACCAAAGAGCCCUGGGUUGUGGUGUCGGCGGGA
rnacentral:lncRNA from 1 species